AUGGCACAUGUGAAGUUACAUGAAUUUUGGUAUAGUCCCUUCACUUUGAGGGUAAAAUGGACCUUAAAGCUGAAGGGUAUAUCCUAUGAGAAUAUAGAGGAAGAUCGAUUCAAUAUGAGUCCUCAACUUCUCCAAUACAAUCCCAUUUACAAGAGGACUCCAGUGCUUGUUCAUGCUGGAAAACCCACAUGCUGAAAAUUUCAGUAUAAUGAGGUUGUCGGUCUUCAGAGAAAUCAAAUAUUUCGUCACCAAGGCAAAAUUCAAAUUUCCUAUUUUUAUCAAAGUGAUAAUAAUAUUUGGGGUCAACUUUUGAAGUUUCCUGCAGUUUCUGCAUUCUUCAGUAGCAAUAAUGAUGAAGAACGAGAAAAGAGUAUAGAGAAGAUAUGGGAGCAUCCAAGGGUUGUUGAGAAUCAGUGUUUUGGUGAUCAGAAGAAAUUUUUUGGGGGAGACAUUAUUAACAUUGUGGAGAUAGCUUUUGGGUCCAUAUUCAAAUUUCUUGUUGCAGAAGAUAUUCUUGAAGCGAAGGUCCUGGAAGAUGAGAAAUUCCCUCACUUGCACUCAUGGUAUAAUAAUUUCAAGGAUGUUUCAGUUAUUAAAGAAAACCUCCCAGACCAUGAGAAAAUGGUGGCUUUUAUUAAGUUUAUUAGAGAAAAACGUUUGGCAUCUUCCUAAGAAAGUAAUCUAUAUAAGAUCAAGUAUGAAUGAAUCACUUUGUAUCUGUCUGAAUCGCUUUUUUA